CUCCGUGGGUUAACGCCUAUUGCGCAAAAACAUAUCGAUAACGUUUUGUUUUUCCAAUGGAUUUUUUUUUUUUAAAUUGCAGCACUGCAGUUUUCCAUUUGGUGGCAACAAUAACCAAAUGCUGCUUUAAAAAUUAGCCGGACGCGCACACACUCACACUGCACCGAACCACCUGAAGAAUUCCUUUUAGGGAGGGACGGGCCCGGGUUCGCUCGCCGGGGACCGUGAACGGGGAAUGUCGAGUUUUCCGAACGAAUGCGAUAUGAUUUGGACAGGAAGGCUCUGAGUGAGAUUAGCGCAUCACACAGGCUGGGAGACCAGGUGGUGUCUCUUCUAUCGGAGUGUAUGACUCAGCUUUAGCACAUGGGGGCCGCACAGCUAAACUUUCGAGGACAGUGCAACAGCGUGUGUGUGUGUGUGUGUGUGUUUAUCAGCGCUUGGACACAACUGCAGUUCUUGUUUUUUUUUUUUUGCUACAGUGUUGCAAUGUCUUUUUUCCCUUAGGCGUGCACAUGUUACUGGAAUUUGAAUUGGAAAUGUUGCAAUGUAUCCCAAGGAUCGCCUUACAUGGCCGCGCAUAGAACGCGAACAGCGCGGAUUCAAGAUGUAUGUAAGAAGGGAGCGACCGCAGACGAGGGGCGAUGAACAAACAGACCAGCUCUCCUGCCCUCCUCACUUCGAGUUUGUUUUACUAUUUUAUGCUAACGUGGAGGACGUUGUUUCUGUGCUACUGGAGGGACUGGCUGCUAAGGGAACCCUCGUGUAAAGUAGCGGGAUUUAUCAAGACUCUGCUUCCUUUAUGCGUUUGCUGCACUGCCAAUACUCCUAGGUGUUGGCAGACACCGCACUUGAGGAGAGAUGACCCCACCUCCCCCCCCUCCCACCUCUUAAUGACUCACGGGAUGUGCUGAAGAGUCCUGCAGGAGGCUGGGAACAGGGAUGCAGAUGAUGAGUUCCAUGUAAAGCGAAGGAAGGAUGUUUGAAUUACUCAUCAGGGCAUAUGGAAUCUCAUAUAUCUGGUACUGGACAAGACAUUUUUCAUGUUCAUUAGUGCUUGUAUUGCAGCGGCCAGGGCUGGACGAUUCUAGAUCCCAGGGUAGAGUACAUUGGUAGCGGACCUGGCAAGAAGCGGAACAAAAAAUAAAAAUAUAAACCCACAGGGGUUGGGGUGGGGGGAAAAAGAGAGGGGGGGUGGUUACGACAGAGGAAUAACACAAAUAAAUAAAAAUGCACUGCUGAAAUUAUUCGGUGCCCCUCUGUUUCGGGAUUUCUUCCAUCUUUGACGGGAGUUUACAGAUGAUUUGUAAUUUGUGUUUUUUUUUUUUUUUUUUUUUUUAAAUUAAAUGUAGUCACAGAAAACACUUUAUUGAGAUUUAUCAAAACAAAAAAUAAAUAAAUAAUAAAAACACGACAGUGAGCAGCUGCUGGGUGCCAGCUUCCUGACUGUAAAGUUAAAACA